UACAGAGGUCUCAAGCAUUGUCCGGAAUUAUUGGGCGUAAAGAGCGCGUAGGCGGUCCGAUAAGUCGGCUGUGAAAGUCAGGGGCUCAACCCUUGGAAGCCGGCCGAUACUGUCGGACUAGAGUCCGGAAGAGGCGAGUGGAAUUCCCGGUGUAGCGGUGAAAUGCGCAGAUAUCGGGAGGAACACCAAUGGCGAAGGCAGCUCGCUGGGACGGUACUGACGCUGAGGCGCGAAAGCGUGGGGAGCAAACAGGG
rnacentral:rRNA from 1 species